rnacentral:lncRNA from 1 species
GAUGGCAUGGGCGGGAGGAGGAAGAAGGGCAUCAAGGAGAAGAUCAAGGAGAAGCUCCCUGGUGGCCACGGUGACCAGCAGCACACCGGUGGCACCUACGGACAGCAGGGUACUGGCAUGGCCGGCACCGGCGGCACCUACGGGCAGCAGGGUCACACUGGGAUGGCCGGCACCGGUGGCACCUACGGACAGCAAGGCCACACUGGGAUGGCCGGCACCGGCGGCGCCUACGGGCAGCAGGGUCACACUGGGAUGACCGGCACCGGCGGCACCUACGGACAGCAGGGCCACACUGGGAUGGCCGGCACCGGAGCACAUGGCACCACGGCCACCGGCGGCACCUACGGGCAGCAGGGCCACACCGGGAUGACAGGCACAGGGGCGCACGGCACUGGCGGCGCGUACGGGCAACACGGCACGGACACCGGCGAGAAGAAGGGCAUCAUGGACAAGAUCAAGGAGAAGCUCCCUGGCCAGCACUGAGCGCUGAGCAGAGCCCGCGGUCGCCACUUCUGAGAGUGGGGGUGCCGGUCGACCACCGUUGCAGAAUCAAUAAUAAGAUGGCGAUACAAUAAAAUUCCACCAUACAACGUGAGCCUAGUUCACCUAGCUCACUUGCGUGUUGGAGGAGCCACUGUAUCUAGGCUCAAGUUUACGUGAACAAACAGUGUUGUUUGUUUUGAGUUACUCGUCUGUUUACACUGUAUAAUUUUGUAAAUUUCCUUCUGGUUAAACCGUGUAUGUAUGCUUACGGUAUGGUGUGGUACAGAUAAGUUCUUUUAUCAAAUAUAUACUCCUAUAAUACUGUCUUAAGAGUAGCUUAAGAGCAUCAUAUGUACUCCCUCCGUUCGGAGGGAGUAUAUAUUACAGUCUACAAAGGGAAGUGGGAAGUUGGUGGCAGAACCGGCCUUGUGAUGAAA